rnacentral:rRNA from 1 species
GACGAACGCUGGCGGCGUGCUUAACACAUGCAAGUCGAGCGAUGAAGUUUUUUCGGAAAUGGAUUAGCGGCGAACGGGUGAGGAACACGUGAAGAAUCUGCCCUCCACUUUGGGAUAACACAGGGAAACCUGUGCUAAUACCGAAUAUUGAAACGUAAGUGGCAUCACUGAGUUUUGAAAGAAUUUCGGUGGAGGACGACUUCGCGGCCUAUCAGCUAGUUGGUGAGGUAAUGGCUCACCAAGGCAACGACGGGUAGCCGGCCUGAGAGGGCGACCGGCCACACUGGGACUGAGACACGGCCCAGACUCCUACGGGAGGUAGCAGUGGGGAAUAUUGGGCAAUGGAGGAAACUCUGACCCAGCGACGCCGCGUGCGGGAUGAAGGCCUUCGGGUUGUAAACCGCUUUCAGUAGGGAAGAAGCGAAAGUGACGGUACCUACAAAAGAAGCACCGGCUAACUAUGUGCCAGCCGCCGCGGUAA